CCUACGGGUGUCAGCAGUGGGGAAUAUUGCACAAUGGGGGAAACCCUGAUGCAGCGACGCCGCGUGAGUGAAGAAGUAUUUCGGUAUGUAAAGCUCUAUCAGCAGGGAAGAAAAUGACGGUACCCGAUUAAGAAGCCCCGGCUAACUACGUGCCAGCAGCCGCGGUAAUACGUAGGGGGCAAGCGUUAUCAGGAUUUACUGGGUGUAAAGGGAGCGUUGACGGCAGAACAAGUAUGGAGUGAAAUGCCGGGGCUUAACCCAGGAACUGCUUUGGAAACUGUGCAGCUAGAGUGCAGGAGGGGUAAGUGGAAUUCCUAGUGGAGCGGUGAAAUGCGUAGAUAAUAGGAGGA
rnacentral:rRNA from 1 species